rnacentral:tRNA from 1 species
GCUGGUCGGCGCGGUGGCGGUGCACGCGCUGUUCUGGCUGGCCCUGGUCCGCCUGGUACCGCCGCGCCCCCAGGGCUCCGCGCCCCCGGACCGGCC